rnacentral:rRNA from 1 species
AGAGCGAACGCUGGCGGCAGGCUUAACACAUGCAAGUCGAGCGCCCCGCAAGGGGAGCGGCAGACGGGUGAGUAACGCGUGGGAACGUACCUUUGGUUCGGAACAACACAGGGAAACUUGUGCUAAUACCGGAUAAGCCCUUACGGGGAAAGAUUUAUCGCCGAAAGAUCGGCCCGCGUCUGAUUAGCUAGUUGGUGAGGUAACGGCUCACCAAGGCGACGAUCAGUAGCUGGUCUGAGAGGAUGAUCAGCCACAUUGGGACUGAGACACGGCCCAAACUCCUACGGGAGGCAGCAGUGGGGAAUAUUGGACAAUGGGGGCAACCCUGAUCCAGCCAUGCCGCGUGAGUGAUGAAGGCCCUAGGGUUGUAAAGCUCUUUCGACGGGGACGAGUGAUGACGGUACCCGUAGAAGAAGCCCCGGCUAACUCGUGCCAGCAGCCGC